GAACUAGAGUUUCAUAAAGGUUGCUCAUUGUCAGAGUCCAGAUGUGCAGGGCGGGACGUGCCUGAGGGAGAGCCAGAGAUAGGACUUGCCAAACCAGCUAUCAGCCCCAAGGACACUGACCAUCCGUAGCUACCCCCUCCCCUUCCUUCACCCCCCUGAGUGAGAUGAGUCACCCUACCUGCCUGCCGAGCUGCUGGAGAGCACGUACUCCUUGCUGAUGUAAUUUCGCGCCGAAAGUAACUGUGCACCAUUUGAAUUGACCAAUCAUGUGUAACCUCGCGAAUGCCCCUAACCUCCCCUAUAUAAACCCCCGAGUCUGGAGGCUCGGGGUCGAUUCCUCUGUCUCCUGUGUGAGAUACGUGUCGACCCGGGAUCCCGCUAAGACCUGGGAUCUCGUUAAUAAAGCUACCUCUUGCUGUUUCAUCAAGAAUGGCUCCUCGUGAUUCCUGGGGGCACCCCACCCUGCGAUCGGAGCGAGAGACGCGGCUCCCCGUUUUGGGGUACGCUCUUUCAUUUGGAGGCUCGUCCGGGAUCGGAGCGUGACCCCCUGGAACCCCGAAUGCCACUUGGAGGUACGUUGGUGUGAGUGUUGAAAGCGGCCGCUGUGUAUGUGUAUGUAUGUGUGUGUGUGUAUGUUGUGCUUCUCGUACUGUGUAUUGUGCCAUGGUCUAAGGUUUAAGUUGGGUGUGCUCGGGUGGAAGGGCUCCCCACCCCGAAUUUGAGUGCACCCCGUUUUCGAGUACAUCUGGGCAGAUGGGUUUCCUGCCCCGUAUUUGAGUGCACUCGGGUGGAAGGGUUUCCCGCCCCGGACAGACAGUACACUUGGGCAGAUGGGUUUCCUGCCCUGUAUUUGAGUGUACUUGAGCGGAAGGGUUUCCCGCUCCGGACAGGCGCCUGUGAGUAGAAGGGUUUCCUACUCCGAAUAGUCUUUUUCUUUCUUUUUUUCCUUUUUAGAAAGCGCACCGGGGGAUGCCCCAAUCGCGCAGGCUCUGGGACGCGUGAGAGACGUUCCGAGAGCCAGCCUUUGUCGGGUCCUGGCUCUGGGACGCGUGAGAGACGUUCCACGAGCCGAAUUUUGUCGGGAGGACCCGGCAACGGACAGUCAAAAAGAUCUGACUGUGACUUGACUUCGGAGGUCGAGUUCGGCAGCCUAUUUGAGUAUAGGCACGGACAAGUGUGCUUAGAUGUGUUAGUGUCUGUUGUCUGUAUUCUAUUCCUGUGUUUGGUAUCCCAGAAGCAGCUAAGGUUAAGCUGCAGUUUGGGCCAGGUACUGAAGGUACCAGGCAUCUGUGGAAAUUGGUUAUAGGAUGCUUUGUCUUGGUCUUGUUUGUCUGGAUUGUUUUCUGUGGUAUUGUCCAGUGUUUUUUUGACUUUUUAUUCGUGUUUGAAUUUGGACUGACGACCGUGUUUAAAAUCUUGAACCGACGACUGUGUUUGAAAUCAUGAAACUGUUUGCUUUGUUCGUUGAAGAGUUUUACUUGGUCCCCUUAAUGCUUAGUGAGUAAGGAACUUAAUUUUGUGGACCCCGCUCUAGUGGCGGUGUGUUGGUUGAUAGCCAAAGUUAAUUUUUAAAACAGUGUUUUAUCUGUGCUUGUGCUCGCAGCCAGCUGAGAUAAGCUAGAGAAGUGAGUAAAUAUUGCUUGGGAGCAAAGAAUCUUAAAGGCGGAGUUUCAGCCGGUAUGACACUUAGUGCGUAGCUGCCUAAAAGAUCAGAAAUGCUGUUAAUAGGCUAUAAAAAAGGGACAGGCUGUGUUAGAAAUGCUACAGGAAGAAUAAUCUAAAAAGGCUGAGAGCUAGGUGGGGCUAUAAGGAAAACAAGAAUAGGAAAGGAAUUUCUGACAUUUGCUCACAGUAGGAGAGCACUCAUUUAGAGAAGUUCUUUAAGGAAGCCUGCCUUAUCUGCUGUCUUUAUUCCAAGGGAGGAGUCAGUCUCCAGCACUAAAUUACUUGGCGGUGGCCAAGGUCAGGAUUAAUGUUUUCUUUUCCUUGGCCCCUUUAAACCCAGUGAGACAGUUUGGUAAAGGGCUACUACUGAGGUCCUGAUAGCCCCAGGUGAACUGGUUACAAUUCUUUUAUCAGCCCCCUGGCAUCUAGCACCCAGGUUCUAACCAUCUCUCCAUCCUUUUGUUACUAGAAGCCUAGUGUCAUUUGGAGGCUGGUUCUCUUGAGAGGCAAAGCCAUGGAGCUGACACUGACAAUGGCCUUUUUGUUCCAAGAAAGGCCUCCUGGUUUAGCUGUGUGACUAAAUGCUAUUUGUCCUCUUCAGUGGACCUCUCUUCUCUAGAUUCCCUUCUUGUUUUCUCACCAUCCCACGUGAGAUGCUUGUUAGUAACUGUUACAGAUCUUCUUUACCACCGAGGAAAGACGGAAUCCUACUGGAGACCAGAAAAAAUGUUCCAGACACGGAUAGAAGGCCCUCACUUCUGCCUGCUCUCUUCAGACGCCUGAAGGCUAAAAGACCUACAGGUGAUACAGAAAGAAAUCUGCUCACAGCUGACAGCAGCCUAUGCCCCGGAGACCCCUGAGACAUCCCAUCAGUUCCAGGUUGCAGCUACAGAGUCCAGACACUCGAGCCUCGCUGGAAAGGACCGUACCUGGUGCUGCUGACCACCCUGACAGCUGUCAAUUCUCAGCCCUCACCAGCCGUGUACUAGCUGUUGGGGCUGAGAGCUGGGACCUAGAGGGAAACUCAGUCAUGUUUGUCCUGGGUUCUAUCAAGAUAGGUGUGGGAUAGGCUUGAUUUCCAUUACAAAUGAUGUAACAUUGCCUAUGUUAGUACUCUUAACACUUCUUGGGACUGUGCCUCAGGGAUCACAGUCCGUAUAAGCUUAGAAGUUCUAAAAGCUAGUCAUGACCUUGGUGGAUAGGCUUGGAUAGUGUCCAGGUUAGAAUCCUCAUGUUAAGACUACAAUACCAAGCUGUUAUGCUAGAUGAAGCUGAGUUCUCCAUGAAGUUCUAGGAUUAGAACUAUUAACAAAAAAAAAAAAAAAAAGAAUUGGGGAAUGUAGAACUAGAGUUUCAUAAAGGUUGCUCAUUGUCAGAGUCCAGAUGUGCAGGGCGGGACGUGCCUGAGGGAGAGCCAGAGAUAGGACUUGCCAAACCAGCUAUCAGCCCCAAGGACACUGACCAUCCGUAGCUACCCCCUCCCCUUCCUUCACCCCCCUGAGUGAGAUGAGUCACCCUACCUGCCUGCCGAGCUGCUGGAGAGCACGUACUCCUUGCUGAUGUAAUUUCGCGCCGAAAGUAACUGUGCACCAUUUGAAUUGACCAAUCAUGUGUAACCUCGCGAAUGCCCCUAACCUCCCCUAUAUAAACCCCCGAGUCUGGAGGCUCGGGGUCGAUUCCUCUGUCUCCUGUGUGAGAUACGUGUCGACCCGGGAUCCCGCUAAGACCUGGGAUCUCGUUAAUAAAGCUACCUCUUGCUGUUUCAUCAAGAAUGGCUCCUCGUGAUUCCUGGGGGCACCCCACCCUGCGAUCGGAGCGAGAGACGCGGCUCCCCGUUUUGGGGUACGCUCUUUCAGACCUUGUCAAGUCUGAAUCUUUCCUGCUACCCACUCAUCACAGAGGCCCACCCUGACCAUUGAGAGACUUGUUGAGAGGCUGGUACAAUGAGUGGGUUUUAUUAGUGUGUUCACAGACAGACACUAUAACCUAUUUGAGGGUAGCAUCAUAUCCUCUGAAGGGAAAGCCACACCUUUUAACUGCGUUACCCCCAGACCCUCAUGACCAGCACUCUGACUUUUGCCUGAGGAGCCAUUCUAUCCUGGACACCCAUGCCCUGUGUCCCGGAAGUCACAGUGUAUGUGAUCUGGUGCUUCUUUCUCGAAGUGUGUUCAUGUUAGCAGUAUGCAUUCACGGGUGAGCCACAUUUCACAGUAAUAUUUUUGCUGUCUUGGGUUGGUGUUUUUCUGAAGCGAUGGGAAUUGAACCCUGGGCCAUACAAAAGCUGGGAAAGCCCUUUGUCUCUGACACACCUUCACAACACUCCAUUUUUCUGACCCAAUAGCCCAUCCAUUGCACCACUGUGAGUAAAACUGGCGAGAACACUGGCGCUCUGGUUUCCGUGUAGACACAGGUUUGUAUAUGGUCUACGGGUCCCAUGGGUUACAGAUUGGGGUCAUUUUCAAGUAGGUGCCAUAACAGUGACUUACAGUAACAGGUGAGCCACUGUGACUCCCUAAACACACACACACACACACACACACACACACACACACACACACACUCACACACAUACCAGCUCUGUCAAGAGAAGGGAAAGACUGUGUGUACUUUAGCUCCAAGGCCUCAUCUGGGCUUCCUCUCUCCUGUCCAGACUUGGAGCCAUCCAGCCCAUGCCACCAGACUAGCUGCUAAGGGUAGUCACUAGGGAGGGUAACCCUGGUGGGGGACCCAGCCAGAUACUCCACAUGUCCCUGCUGCAGACUUGUGUCCAGCAUGCCUUAGCCCAAGAGAUGAGGCAGGAGCCCACUUCACCCUGUUCUGGGCUCACGAUGCGAGAACCACUGGAGUAGCUCGCAGGAAGGAACUCUUGAUUCAGAGUCAUGGCCUCCCUGGCCCUGAGCCUCCUCCUGUGCCUGAAGCUUCAGGUCAAUCCACACACUCCCGGCCUUAGCAGUGGAUCUGAGGCUGGCAGUCGGAGCACAUGGUAUCUACUGCACUCAGCACAGUCCACCCGGGCCCGGAGGCGUCUUCUCUCUCCUGGAAUUUGAUCACAUGUGUUCUGUUUUGGGUCCUGCAGAAGGUGGGCACGGUGGGCGCUGCUCUCAGCCUGGCGACUAACUGGUCGCAAGUCUCCUGUCUUACAUGCAGUUCCCUAGAGCGCCUGCUAACUGGCAGCGUUCCUACAAAUGACAGGCCUCUUCUCGGCUUGGCAGCACCCUCCUCACAUAUUGCAUGUUUUCCUCCAAAAUGUUUAAUGUGCUAAAGUCUAGCUUCAAUCAGAUCAGCGCUAAAGCAGACUAAUCACUUAGCCUGAUUGUUGAGCUGCGUUUGGUUCUGAGAUUCUAAAAUAUGGAAGGAAAAAAAAAAAAAAACCAUCAAGCUCUGCUUCCACAGCCCCUCUGCACAGCUGAUCUCUCACAGGAGAAUGUAUUGCCCUCUCUGGAGUUUUUGUGGUUGGAUUAGCAUUUACUGGGAGUUGAAAAGCGUUAUACUCCCCAGCCCCCUCUAGCACAUGGGCUAGAAUGUUGAACAGAUGUUAAAUUAUGUUAUCAAUGCCAAAAUUGGAAAUACCUUGCCUCUUCCCAGAGUUGAGCUUUUUGGUUUAAUUACUGUGAUUGCAGUGGCUGAAACUGGAGCACGUGUACACUCAGAAUGGGAAACUCUGAUGCUAGGAAGUAAUUUUAGAUUCCCGGGGCUGGGGAUGGAGCACGGCAGGUGUGUCAAAGAGCAGGGCUGCCGGCUGAUUCUGCACGCGCACGUGGGGUUGGGUAGCGUGACAGUUCCUUCCGUGCAUUCACUAUGCCGUGGUUUUAACUGGUAAUGACUUCCAUCGGCAGAGGCCCUGUGGUUUCCAGCGCUACUCCUCGAACGGAGAGACACAGAGCAACUCUGUUCUGGCAGGCACAGGCCUGCAAGCCAACUGGUGACAGAGUUGCUGGCCUGACCCACGGCCUCUUUCCCAGACUCUUGCAUUGCUCCCAGGUGGCUCCAUGUGGGUGGCUGGGUGCUUUGGCAGGCAUUGGCUCUUUUGAUUUCACAAUUAAUAAAUGCAAAGAAAGAGAGAAGGAAAGACACAUGACUUCUUAGAGUAGAUUUUGAUUUACAGAAAAGUCAACUCAUAGUUGGAGAGUCCCGCAUAUUGUCUGUGGUUCCUCUGCCCUUCACUUCUGGCCGUGGGGUGACUUGUCUGGCUGAGCCGGAGUGGGCAAUGCGACCAACAGACAUCCCCAUGCCACAUAAGAGUGGGCUCUUGGGGCUGCAUAUUCUAUGGGUUUGGUCAUAGUCAAUUCACACUGCCAGGUCUCCCACUGCAGCAUCCUGUAGAAGCCUUUGUACACAAAUUCUGCAACCCAUUGCUCCAGGAGAACAGACACGCAAGGCCACAAAGGGCUGCAGUUAUAGUGGCACAAGUAUAUAUUUACCAAGACAUCAACAGCAUAGGUAUGGGGAAAAGGAAUUUGUGUGCUCCAGGGUUCACCGGAUAUAAAAUGCCAUUGCAACAGAGCCAUCCCUGCGGCCCUGAGGCUGGAGUGAGGGCAGGCAACACGUAACAUUCUCCAGACAACUGUGAAGUGAGGUGAACACAUAUGUUCCCAUGGAAAUGAAGUCCCAUGGCUGCUAAUAUUCUCAAGAGAAGCAAAUGGUUGUUUGAGUCAGAAAUCAGUGAGCAUAGAAAAGUUAGAUUUUUUUUUUUUUUUUUUUUUUUGGUCCAAGUUCCUAGUCCUCAGGAAUGACGUCUCUACUCUACAGACGUGGAAUAUUUCAAAUCAGGAAAAAAAAAUGCUAAAAGGGAUUUUUAAAAAAUGUAUUUUAAAAAUCAAACACGUGGCUGGGUGGUGAAGACACACAACUUUAAUCCCAGGACUCAGGAGACAGAGGCAGGUAGGUAUCUGAAUUUGAGGCCAGCACGCUCUACAGAAGGAGGUCAACGAUAGCCAACACAGAGAAACCCUGUCCACCAAAAAGACGAAAAAAAAAACCCCAAAAAGUCCCCCCAAAACCAAACCAACCAACCAAACAAAACAAAACAACAACAAACCGAAAGAAAACCUACCAACAAGCUGUUUUUGAAGCUGUACCUUCAUUAGCAGCAGGUGGGCUCAUGAUGUCUGCGCAGUGGCUGGGACUCCAGUCAUCUGCCCUGAGAGAAAGCAGAUUGCUUUGGAGAAGCUGAUUAAGCUCCGUGGAAAUUGGGGGAGGGUUGUGUGAUUCAUACCUCCUCACACAGCAGACAGGAUGGUUACAUUUCACUGUCUUCCCAUGAGUCAGAGUCAGUGGCUGAGAGCUCAGGAGAGAUUGACCCCAGGGACCCCGGGCAUCCAGCAAGCAACGAGGGUCACUGGUGGCUGCAUGCUGGGGGCCUAAGAAGUCGGUCGGAGGUGUACCACCAUCAUCAACAUCAUCAUUAACACCUUCAUCAUCCUCGCCACCAUCACCUCUGUCAUCCACACCGUCAUCCCCUUCACCGUCUCCAUUAGAGCUUUCAACUUUACCACCACCAUCAUCAUCACUGUCACCUUUGCUACCUACCAUCAUCUUCAACUCAACCACCAUCAUAACCUAACUAACCAUCACCAUGCCUUCGUCCUCACACCAUCAGGACCACGACCUUCACACCAGCACGAUUGCUACAGUCACUAUCAUUACUGUGGGCAAGCCGGGUAGAUGAGGUAGGUGGGGCCUGGGGCUGGCUCCUGUUGAUGGAGUCCCCCACCUAGGGAAGCGUGUGUGCUGUGUGAAUGGACGUACAGACCCCGAGAAAAGGAGAAGGAGUGAGACUUGAAGUGGAGCCUUGACAGGUGGAGAGAGAGGCCUGCCUGCACUGGGCAGCCUUGAUCUUGGUGUUGUUUCAGAGUGUGAAGCUGCCCAGGGCCCUCUACUUUCUGCCUUCCCAGGUCUUCUGUCCUCUCCUACCCUGUCCAUCCAUCCUGCCUUUUCUACUCUUGUAGCUUUAACCUCUUCCCUCCAAGGAGCACAUACACUCCCUGCCUCCUGCAGAACCUGGAACUCAGGGCCAGCAGAGCCAGGGGUUGGCAGCUAGUGCAAGAAAGAAAGAGAGGUGGGAUUCUGCAGAUAAAUGCCCCCAUUUCUGGUGACUCAUAGUCUAUCCACAGCUCUUGGCCUAAGGAUGCCCUAGAGAUGAUCAAAGACUCCUCUGGUGGGAAGGGCGGGGUCUGCCACACAUCCACUCCAGCCUGCCAUGAUAGCAUUCUGACCAUUCCACUCUGCCCCAGUGUCCAGGCCUCCCAGGCACCACCCCUAUGCUCCACAGAGAGCCCCAAUGACAGGCCCUGACAUGCUUUGGAAGCCGUAGGGGAUAGAGUGGGCAUCCUGUCUAGAUUCCUAAGUUUCUCUCUCAUCUUCCUGGCCCUACCUCUGCUCCAUCAACAUAUGAACCAACACUCAAGGUUGCUCAGGAGCAAAACUGAGAAAGAGGCUGUAGCCAGGGCCCUCAGCGAGGCUUUUGUUCCUCUCUGCCUGUGCGGAGUCUCAUAGCUCCACUGUCAUCCUGUUUCCUCUGGGAAAGCUGGCCUCUAGGGUUCCCUUUCUACGGCUCCUCAUUCUCAUGGCAUUUUGUAUCUCCAGGAAAACACAUGUCUCAUGAACAAAAGCACUCUGUGGGCUUUGCAGACCUGAGAGGAGACAAGGAGAUAUAAAAAAGGUACCCACGCCAGCUUUCUCCUUCAGGUUCUAGCACAGGGGCUUAACGGAGUGACGCUUGUCCUUGAGUGAGCAUCCCCUCUCCAUCUCCUGAGCUCAAGCUCCAGAUAGGUGCUGGGCUUAUUCAGCAUAUGUCCCAGGCCUCCCCAGGCCUCCCCAGGCUCUCUGAUGACAUGGCGGUGACAGCGUUUCCUAGGAAACUACAGCUAGCUGCCAGACCUACACGCCUGUGCCCCUUGGGGCUGCUGUGGUGGGUGAAGGCUGGGAUGCUCCAGAGGGAAGGUGUGUGUCUGUGCGACGAGAAGAGGAGACUGUGUCCACAAGAAUCUUCGUGUGAGUGUGUGAUAUGGUGGGUGAAGAAUUCCCACACUGAGUUCUGUACUUGGGGGUCUACAUUGGGCACAUGCCUCAGGGUCUUGGGUCUGUGUGCUGCAAGCCUCUGCAUGUGAGCGUGUGUGUGUGUGUACUGGGGCUUCGGUGUACCUCUAAAGCCAUGUGGGUGUAUGUACCUUUGUGUGUGUGUGUGUGUGUGUGUGUGUGUGUGUGUGUGUGUACAUCUGUGUGUAUGUAUGUAUUUGAGCAGCUGUGUACGUAUACACAGGGUACUGGGCUUCUGAGGUAUUCUUAUGUUCUCUCUGCAGGCCUGAGACUUCCUGACAGCAGCCUCUUGGGCCCAGAGCCAAGCUUUCUAUCCACCCAGCAAUGCACCAUUCCUGCCCCUGAGCCUUCAGGUAAACUGCCUUCAGCAAACAACAACGGAGGCCCACAACGCAGGGUCACUAAAGGCAAGCCCAGACCUGGCUGAGAAGGUCCAGGGCUUGCGAGCUGGCAGCAAGAAACAAUAGUGUCGGGGCUGGGGAUUUAGCUCAGUGGUAGAGCGCUUACCUAGGAAGCGCAAGGCCCUGGGUUCGGUCCCCAGCUCCGAAAAAAAAGAACCAAAAAAAAAAAAAAAAAAAAAAAAAAAAGAAACAAUAGUGUCUUCAGAUCAGCCCCUCUCCCUGAGUGCCACCUCCCUCUGUGAGAACAGGAUGCAGGGACAGUGUAGGCAUAAAGGAGGAGCCACCACCAGGGAGGACUUCCUGGGGGAGGCUCCUUCUAGGAUGCCUGAGCAGGAAUCAGUGUGGGGCCUGGGGAGGAGGGAGGAGGGAGGAGCGAGGGAGAGGUGGUUGCAGCAGAUACUGCCUCAGGGAGACAGGUCUCCUCUUUCUCCUCCCCAGUCACAUCCUCUGCACUAGAAAAUGUGAACACUGAAAAGGUAGGACAGUGUGAGUGAGCCCAGAGCAGACCUCAGCCAUCCUGGGGAAUGGGUGGGAAAAGACCAGGAUCCAGAUGAGGUCAAGCAUCACAAGCAGGGACUAUGGUAUAGACAGUGACAGAGCCACCAAGAGGGUCCUUGGAAGAGGAGGCUGCAGAGGGGCGAAAGCUGACCCCAGCAAAGCCAAGCAUCCCUCACUGUUGAAAGACCCCGUAUCCAGGUGUCUGGUAAACAUCUCUGUCCUAGGCUCAGCUAAGGAAGGCAGUGGUGCCAAGAUCUCUGUAGGCCAAGCCCCAGGAAAAAGAGCUGAGCAAGUACCUGGCACUCCAGGCACAUGGUGGAAAACAGAAGCUCAAGGACCCCAGCCUUCACUGCUACCAAUGGUCUCCUCCCACAGAUCACACUUGGGCCUAGCCUGGGCCUGCUGUGAGGGUUUUAGGGUAUCUCCACAGACAGGGUCACAUGCAGCCCUUUGUCCAGUCAGCAGAUGUGGGCCCAGCAGAGAAGGAAAUGCCUUCCCUGCCCCCAGCUAGUAGAAGGCUGGGCCCCAGCCAGAAAGAGUGGCAAGCAGGAAGAACAGCAGGCAGGGCAAGAUCAGUCCAAUCGGCCCUCGCUCCACCCACUGCCAGCCUGUUCUCCCCUCCCCCACCACCCUAUUUUUACAUCACCCUGAGGUAAAUCUGAAUGUGUGAUUCAAUAUAUAGCAUUUCCUCUUUGUUGAUUGGCAUAUGUCUGCUUUGGGAGCAAAGGGAAGGAUUUGCAUAGUUUAGCUGGGUGUGGUGACACACACUAGUAACCCCAGCAGUCAAAAGGCAGAGGCAGAAUUGUGCCUAACCUGGACUACAGAGGGAGUUCCACAAGAGCCUGGGCUCCAAAGGGAGAGAGCCUGUCUCAAAAAGAUGGGUGGGGGGUAGACUUAAAUGCAUAACAUUUAAAACAACAACCAUUUUCUCCUUUAAGUGAAUAUUGGACUAGAGACAAAAUGGAAGUCAACUCAAUAUUGACAAGUAUAAACUGCUCUUAUUAUGUGCGGCCAUCUGGCUAGGGGUAGGGACUUGUGGGUAACAUGAGUGUCUGGUGCCCUCCAUAAACCCCUGCACCUGUCUGCUGCCUACUUGCUCCAGACAGAACUUAGAGGACAGAGCAGGGAGGAUCCUUCUGCUAAGCUCAGCCAGGACCCUGCCUCCAGCUUCUAGCUUCCAUGAGAGAGCCCUGUCUCGGGGAAUAUCACCCCAUGGACUUAUUGAACAUUCCCACGAUUGCUCUAGAGAUCUUUAUGUUCCAAAGCUUGAUCUCUGUGCACUGCGUCUGGACAUCCUGGAUACCUGAUAGACACAGGAUAUACUAAAUAAGGUUAUGUCUGGUGGAAAGAAGAGGCUUCUCUUGAAAUGGAUACCUGGUGGUACCCUGUAGGGUAGGGGGGCUAGAGCAGUGUCUGGACCAUGUCCCAGCGUGGGCACCUUGAGUAAACAGGAGGUAGGCCUGAUCAUGUGCAGCCAGGGGUGGGUGGAAUGGCUGCCCCCUCCAUGCCAACCUGAGCAGGCUUUUGUGGUAAACAUUAGAACUGAAAACUGAUGAACAGUAGAUUUUUCCAGAUUUAUUUUUGUUAUUUUAAUCAUGUUUAUGUGUGUUUAUGGGUAUUAAGCACAUGAAUGCAAGUGCCCACAUAAGUCAGAGGUGUCAGAGCCCCCUGGAGCUGGGGUUACAGGCACCUGCUGUGAAUGCUGGGAACUGAACUCAGAUCCUCAGGAAGAACAGUGCGUGCUCUUGGUCAUUGAACCAUCCUAACCUGGGAAGGUUACAGUUGAGCCUCAGCUGACCUGGAGUCUGGUGAGGCUGCUAUUGGUUCCAAAGAGCAUGGUCUCACUGGGUCCUCAUGCAGUGAGGAGGGCAUUCAGCCUCUGCAGAAUGUCCUCCCGUUCUUCCUGACAGGUUAAGCUGUAAUGUGGAUUUAGAGGACACUAUUAGUCAAUCUGCAGCAGAAACCAGGAGGGUUCAUUUCCUGGGAUUGCCGUGUUCAGGAUUUAGCCAACUGCUUGUCUAGAGAGCACUGCAGAGCCCCGUUUAAGAGGGAAGGCCUAGUAAGGCCCAACAGCAAAGCCAGGCAAACCUCAGAGAUCCACUGAGAGGGGUUAGGUACUGCUUCCAAAACUAGCUCUUCCCUAUCAGGGCUUCCCGGGCACUAGAGCAUCUACUCAGCCAGCUGACAUCAGGCAGUUGCUGACCAUGGCCUGGGCAGGAGACUCCAUGGCAUGCAAAUCAAAAGCAAGGAUCCAGGAGCCCUUUUAUGUAGCCUGGACUGUGACAGAGAGCAAUGGCCCUCAGGGGUUUGGAUCCCAGUGAACAGCCCACAGGAGCCGAGGGUCUGUCGCAACCUUUAAUGCUCCUCUAUUUUCCCCUCACCUCAAAGUACAGACCACGUGUCCGGGACCUCUAAGAACAGAGAAAAUGGGUAAGAAUGUUAUCCUAAUUCAACCCUAAAGGAGCAGCUAGGGUCAGGGCAGCCUUUUGAGGGGGACCAAGGCCAGCAGACAUCCUGUUUGUUCCUGAAACCCUUGCUUGCUCUACAAGUCGGAGUGUGCUAUGUCUCAGCCAUAGCCCGGGGACGGAGCAGGUGGGUGGUAUCCAAGGGAGCCCCAAGUAUAGGACCAGACACCCAGUUGCCCCUCUCUGAGCACCACAGGGACAUUAGGGUAUACCAGCCAGCAGGACAGGGUAGAGAAGUUUAAGAUGGACCCAUGACCUCUACUCACCUUAUCCAUACACCAGACUCCUCCUGUUGAGAGACAUCAUGCCCUAAUGGGUAAUGAGCUCUGUGAGUGCAGCUAGCUUGCUUGUCUCAGUAUCAGUUCUGCCUGGAGCCACACAGGAAAUGCCAGACCUCGUCCUGGAGCCCGGAGCAUCCUUCAGUGUAUCAAUUUACUCAUUGCCGUGACAGAAAUUCCUGUCUUAAAUUCCUCCAGCGUUUAGGAAGGGAGGAAGCGUUUGUUUCAGUUACCGUUUGAAGGACACAGUCCAUCAUGGCGGAGAUGUAAUGGCAGCAGGAAUGUGAGGCCACUGGUCACAUGGUAUCCACAGAUGAGAAGCAGACUCAUGGGAAUGCUCAGCUCAAUGCUCCCCUUUUCUGUAGGGUAGGACGGCAGCCCAUGGAAUGGUUUUGCCCACAGUGAAGGUGGGGCUCCUCGUCUCAAUUGACAUAACCUAGGCCAUUUCUUUAUAGUCAUGCUCAGAGGCAGACGAUCUAGAUAAUCUCUCACAGGUGUUUCCAGAGGAUGGCCUCCCACAGGAUUCUCGAUCCUGUCAAGUUAACCAUUACAGUCAGUGAUUGCAGCCAUGAAGCACCCUGUUCCCAGAAGUGCAGGCCCAAGCUGGUCUUCAGCAACACCAGCCUUUCCUUCACUUUCCUUGAGUUGCACUGUUCUCAUUAUAAACUAUGGGCACUUAACAGCACUUUCUGCUCUUUAGAGGUCCUGAGCUUAGUUCCCAGGCCCCAUAUUGAGUGGCUGUCUUAGUUAGGGUUUUAUUGCUGUGAAGACACCAUGACCAAAUCAACUCAUAAAGAACAACAUUUAAUAGGGGCCGGCUUACAGGUUCAGAGGUUCAGUCCAUUAUCAUCAAGGCAGGAACAUGGCAGCAUCCAGACAGACACAUGUGCGGCUGGAAGAGUUAAGUUCUGCAUCUUCAUCCAAAGGAAGACAAGAGAAGACUUCCAGGCAGCUAGGAGGAGGGUAUUAAAAACCACAUUCACAGUGACACACCUACUCCAACAAGGCCACACCUUGGGCCUUGUUGUGCCUAAUAGUGCCACUCCCUGGGCCAAGCAUAUACAAACCAUCACAAUGGCUAAUAGCUACCUGUAACUCCAAGCUUCAGGGACCUAAUCUAGCACACACACACACACACACACACACACACACACACACACACACACACACACACAUUUAUAUGUAAAUAAAAAUAAAUCCUUUUUAAAAAGCAAGAAAUAUAAGGAAACAUUCUAAAAGAAAAGUAAAAUUAUCUGCAUCCAACUCACUAGAGAUUAAAUCAGUUAAUCACUUUGGCAUACAUCUUUUGGGGACACACAGGGUGUGUGUGUGUGUGUGUGUGUGUGUGUGUGUGUGUGUGUGUGUGUGUGAAGGUAGCUGAAACAUAUCUGAAUACAACAUCAUUUUACUUCAAGCAUUGAGGUUUGUUUACACAAACAGGACUAUUUAGGCUGACUUACACUAAGUAGGUCCCAGUUGGCCAUUCGGUUAUUUUGUACUGAGUCAUCCACCGAUGGCACACACUGCUGGAGUGUGUCCCUCAGAGAGGGUGUCCUAGGUACUUCCUGGCUCCAGGUGAAGUCAUUUCUAAGGCUCCAGCGUAAAGUAGCAUGUGGAGAGCUAGGACACAUAGAUGCUCUGGGAAGAUACACUUGCAGGGAAUGUUCUCUCCAAAGCACAAAGGAGAUGGCAGACGUGGUGUUGCAACGAGAGCCAUGACAUUUCCCUUCCUCUUCUGGAACAUUAAGAGUGACAUACGCUCAGUGGGAAAAAUCACAGGGAAAUGUCAGUUAAGUAAAAACGAUUUCCCUGAUCCUCCCACGCCUAGUGCUUGUCCUUUUAAGCCUCGCCACUCCCCCUCCUUCCUUCUCUUUCAGGAGCAGGGGAGCAGAGUGGAGGCUUCGAGCUUCCUUACUUAGUGGCCACCAGGUGUUGGCGCGUGACUUGAGGUCCCUGAGACUUUGGCCCAUUGCAAAAGAGGUGUGAAUUAGUUUAAGGAGCCAACUGUUGUGUAUGCGUUGGUAUCUCUCUCUCAGCCCACUCUAUCCCCAAAUGCCACAUGGGAGGCAUCUUCCCACAGUAGCUGAUACUUACCCUGGUCCUUUUGAGUGACCUUGACAUUCUACUGUGUGGGUGCCGAGAGUUACGUAAUCCAACUUCAGUGGCUGGAAAUCUAGAUGGCUUUCAUUUUUGAAUAAAAUAUUAAAAGCAA